rnacentral:rRNA from 1 species
UACAGGGGGGGCAAGCGUUGUUCGGAAUUACUGGGCGUAAAGGGCUCGUAGGUGGCCAACUAAGUCAGACGUGAAAUCCCUCAGCUUAACUGGGGAACUGCGUCUGAUACUGGAUGGCUUGAGUUUGGGAGAGGGAUGCGGAAUUUCAGGUGUAGCGGUGAAAUGCGUAGAUAUCUGGAGGAACACCGGUGGCGAAGGCGGCAUCCUGGACCGACACUGACGCUGAGGAGCGAAAGCCAGGGGAGCAAACGGG